rnacentral:lncRNA from 1 species
AUUUAUAGUAAUUAUACAAUGAAACUACAGUGUAAUUUUUUUUAAAAUUGAGGUCAAUAAACCCAUCGCCUUGCUCUUAUGUCCGUCGCCCUUACUAUCACCAUAACAUACAUCGAUGGUUGAUCAGACGGGUUAAGCCCGUGGUAUUACCACCAUGCGCGCCUACAUGGCCCACGCACAUUCACCCAUUUGGGGGUGGAUGAGACAAAUUUAUGUUUUUUUUUUUUUUAAGUUCCAUCCACUCCCAAAUGGAUGAAUGUGACGCGGCCACGUAGACGCGCCCGUGAUAAUACCACGAGGUUAAACCCGUUUGAUCAGCGCUCAAAUACAUCACAUGCCCUGUACUCACGUAGCCAGGUCUAAUGCUCUUGUUAUUUUUAUAUUUUGUUUUUAGUAGGGUCGGGUGGGUAGGCCGAAUUUGGGUAGUUUAAUUAGUCUUAAUUGGAAUGGGCCGGUCAAUGGGUCAGCUCUGCAAAUAGCCAAAAAGUUGGGCCAAUGCGACAUGCAUCACACAUCAAUUGAAUUGCUAAGAAUAGUCAUAGAAUAAUUUUUUCCUACAAUGGAAAACUUGUUUUUUUAUAAUAAAAAAAAAAAGAAAAAGAAGAAAAAACAAAAUCUUUAGAAUUUAAGUAGAAAAUUAUUAAGAAAUAUUUUGAAUUCAUGAUUAUUUGAAUUAAACUUCCUAGAAAGAAAAGCUCUGGACUCCCCUUCUUGUCUCGAGAUCCUCUAUUCUUCUCUUUUAUGUAUCUCAUCAUUUGUUUAUAUUUUUGUCAUUAAUUUUUACGAUAUAACAGACAAGAGAGACAUGUGACAAACAUCGAGAUAAAAAAAAACGUGAUUUACAUCAAGGUAAUUUUAAUUGGUAUAUAGCCCUUUUUUUAGAACGAAUACGAGUGUUUUUGAUCUCUUAGACAUGAAUGUCAAUAAUCCCGUAACAAGAUAUCCGUUCGUUACAAAGUUGACAAUGGCUGAAGGAGCUAGGUAAAAAGAAAAAAACACUUUAAAAAUGAGGUGUUUAGUGCGGAUUUAAAUUUGGUAUACUGUGAACGCACUGAGAAUAAAUCCAAUACAAAUACAUAUUUCAUUUUCUAAAUACUUUUCACGUAUUUCAGUUUGGUAUUUUUUGUAUGAAUUUCUAAUUAAUUUAACUUUUUACCUGUUUUUGCCCAAUGAAAAAGAAAGAUCAAGUAAAAGCUCAUCCACCAAGUAAUCCAACCCCCAACCUCCACCUUCAACCGCCACGGCUCUCUCAUCCUCCUCCAACUUGUCUCCACCUCCCUCCACUGCCAUAUCUCUAACAUAGGCCCCUCUUUUCCCUCCUCUCCCACCCGAACGACUCUUCAUAUUCCCACCCAUCCAAGCUUCAGCCACUCUCAACGUCUCACAUCAAGCUCAUUAUCAUUGUUUCAUUUCUCCUUGUAGCCAAGUCAUGGAAAAAGAAUCCAAAAGCCAACCGAAAUCCACACGGUUUCACACCAAGUUUUGGGUUGCUUUAAUAACAAAAUCCAUUAAUUUUGCCCUUGCUCUUUCUGGGUUUCAUUUCUUCUUCUUCACAAUCUUGGGAAGACUCGGCCUUGUUCUAAGCUUUGGAAGGCAUUCAAAAUCGUGCAUGUUUUGUCAUGAGCAUUUGUUUUUUCCGUCUCCUUCUCCCAUUUAUGUUUGGUAAAUUCUAGUUUCUUCUUUUGUUUCAAAACAGAAAGUUUGAAAUCUUAUAAUAGAAGAGAAGAAUAACAGAAUAAUGAAAUUAAGAACAACAACAACUUAAGGAUGCAAAAUUUGAUUUGGCUGCGUCCCUGACUUAAAUUCAGUGUCCUUAAGUCGUUUACAAACCGCCGCACUUGGUACUUACGGAAUAUGUUGUACGACUCCCAGGAUAUCAACAACAACAAUCUUCUGAUAGUAAGGCACUCCAAAUCAGAAUCACGUCGAACCUUCAAGUGUCCUUCUCUCUCUCAGAUGAAAACUAGAAGAUGCUGGAUGCUCUAGCACUCUCUAAAUGCUUGCUCUUAUGGAUUUUUUCGAAUGAAUGAAGAAUACUGGGAUGGUGGAGGUAUUUAUAGACCAACCAUGACCUUUCUAAAGAGUCACUCUCUUGGAAAGGCACCCAGUCGGCCCAAAUAGCACCUUUCGUCCGAACAGCUGUGCUAGGGACCUUUCUUCACAACUUGGAAAGGUUGUACCUGUUCGCGGAUUAGAAAAACUUUUGGAAGAAAUUCGUAAUAAAACCGUUUUGUUUUAAAUCUUAACGUGUAACCGUUCGCAAAAGGAAGUUAAUUCCGGGGAAGAAACUGUAAUUUCUUAAUUUAGAAAUUAAAAAAUUGAAUAACUUUUUCCUCUCCAAAAAAUUAUAUUUCAAUUAAGCCCAAAGCCCGUCCCGCACGCACGAACACGAACACGAACCGAACCGGGACUGGACGGCGGCGGUUGCGGCGCACCGCACAUGGGUCAAAUCCAUCAAGCCCAUAGGCUAAUGAUCAGGCCCACUUUAUACAUAACUCAUCCCCUUUAAAAACUUGUGGUGCCCAUGCCCAGUGCCCAAUUUAAAGAGUCCAUACUUGGGCUUUAUAUCUUGUCACUAACUUUUCUUUCUUUUUCCAAUGUUGGACAACCUUGUCUAAUCCCCAUUUUUCCUUUGCAUGAAGCUCUUUGGAAAACAAUUUCUCAUCAAUUAACUUAGUUUUUGACAAAUUAAAUACACUAAAUUCAUCUACCAUUAGGAGAACAUGAUCUAUCACCUUGUUCAAUUUUAAUUUAGUGUACGUAACUUAAUAAAAUUUAGUCCCAAGGUGUGUUCACCCACACAUUCUCAAAAACCAAACUUCUCUAACAAUCCCCCACAUGAAUGAAAUUGAUUGAUGUAAUGUAAUGUAUUCCUAGAGAGAGAGAAAUGGAGAAUUAACGCAAUCAGGAGAGGUAGGCUUUCAGCCUUGAACCUCCUUAGUGACAUACGAUCGGAUUUACUCGCCCAAACAGUGGAACAUGACUCCCUUAAACUGUCCAGCUUUGAGUGUAAACCAAGACAACAAUAUGCACACGAUAACCCCUCCGAACACUUUGAUUCUCAUGGUUGUGUUCAUUUUGGCCUCUUAACAACACCUGGUUUUCAUAGUGCUCCACAUAGAGAAUUCAGCUCAAAAUUCUCAUAGGACGGCCCUAAUCCCACUCACAUAGGUUACACUUGUUAAAGUACUCUGCAAUAACCGCACUUAAAUAUUUUUAAGAUACAAGUGUCCAUUCAAAGUUAUACUUACCUAAAUAACUCAUCAGACAUCACGUUGUUUUAUGAUCAAUAGGAACAAGUAGGGUCAAAAAGGUUUUACCCUUUUCUACAAAUGUGCUUUACCACUGAGUACACCAUUAUUUAGUUGUCCUUUUGAACCUAGAUUCUUGGGAUCCUCCAGUCACUAGGUGGGUUUCCACUAUUGCACUCUUUGACUAGAGUCUUUAAUCCCUUCCCCUCGAAGAUUUAUAAACUUGCUCUUAGAUAAACCUUUUGUAAGCGGAUCCGCAUGUUAUCCUUAGAUUUUACUAAUCUAUAGAAUAACACCAUUAGAGAGAGUUGUUUUAAAUGUAGUGUGUCUACGACGAAUAUGUCCUAGAUUUACAUUAUCAAAUUACUUACUACUUUGUGGCCUUUGCAUUGCUGAUUGACUAUCACAUUUUGUGUAUACACACACCACAGCAGCACAGGUUUUGACGCAAUUUGGAAUAUCCUCUAAAAUUUCUACUCCAUUCAGCCUCUUCUUUUCUCUCCGGCUUUGUCUAGAGCAAUAAACUCGCUUCCAUAUAUAUCUGCUGGCAAUACAUGUUUUGUUUAGAGGAUUUCCCCAAGAUACUCUGCAAAGCAAAAAGCACCUCCACUAGUGAAACAUAACCACUUAUAGAUUUAGAGUCUUCUAGAGUCUGAGAUCCAAUUUGCAUCACAAUAUCCCUCAGGUACUGCAAGAUAUCCAGAUAAAAUAAUCCUCAGUUUUGGUAUAUCUAAUUACCUUAAACUCGAAUUAUUGCCCGUUCCACUUAUUAUCUCCCUUGCCUUACUAUUUACCUCUCCUCCCUUGUCCCUACUCAUCUCGACUCCCUCCCUCUAGAGGCUAUAGGAUCUUAUCUCCCUUCCUUCCUAUCCCUUAGACUGCCUAUAAUCCUUGGUAUAAUAAUUGGGGAUACUGUUUCUUUUCUUUCUCCAGUAUUCUUUGUUAGAUGUAAAGUGACAUCUAUCGGAGAUGUUGCUUUUCCAUCCCCAUCCUUGCAAAUUUUCUCUAAAAAUUUUAUUCACGUAAUGUGAAUUGUGACAAUAAUAUCCUUUAAGUGUUCUUCUCGAUUUUAUUCCCGAAUUACAUCUGCAACACCAAGAUCUUUUCACUGUCAAACUUUAUUAAAACAUUAAACGAUUUUAGUAGAAUAUGAUCAUGUAUUAUUUACUUCCAAUAUUUAACUAUCCUCUACAUCAAAACAAAUAAUGACAUAAUCCCUUUUCUGUAUUUUUGCAUACAACACGCAUUUGUCACAUUCAUUGAUUUUGAAAUCAUUUGAAAAUUAUGACAUUUGUAAAUUUUUUUGUGCCAGUGUUUAGGUGCUUGUUUUAAUCAUACAGGGAUUUACAAGGUAUUCACCAACAUCCUUUUUACCCCAUUUUUCCCUCCUGAGCAAAAAAGAUAAAAAAGCAAAAAAAAAACCACACAACACCCCCACAUUUAAACCCCUGCUUAACUGGAUUCUCCCUUUACCUUUCUUCUUUCUGUCCCUUAUCUCCCACUUUAGGAAGGCUGUCUUUACAUCCAUUUGAUGAAUUUCCAAGUCCGUUUAUAGGCAGCAAAUGCUAUUAACAUCUACUGGAUGUAAUUCUGUCACAGGAGAGUAAGUACAAAUAAUCGAGUCCCCUCCUUUUGUUAUGGCCUUUUACUACAAGUCUCGCCUGUAUACUUUAUCUAUAGACCGCCAUCAGCUUUUAACUCCUUAAAAAUCCACUUAUAUCUAAGUGGUUUAUUAUUUCCAGGAGAAGAUUCUACCAAUUCCCAAGUGUAAAUUUGGAGAAUUGAUUCUAUUUCACUAUUUACCUCUUCUUUCCAUGAGGUGGGGCCUCUGGACAAGACAUCGCUUCUUUAAAGCUUUUGCGGCUCACUUUCCAUAAGAUACAAUUAGAUAAUCUGGACCAAAGACUUAGAAAUUUUUUUUUUUUUUUGUUCUUUUUACUUUGUCUUAUUAUUUCCUCUUUCGGUGAUUGUGUUUGAUUCAUCUUAUCUCCUCAUGAGACUUUUGAUGAAUUCAUUUCUCGUACUUUUCCUUGUAAGGGAAUACAUUCCAAAGAAUAUGCAUUUCUUGACUCUAGAUAUAUUUCAUGUAUAAAUCUAUAAUUCAAAUUUUUUUAGACUAAAAAACUAUAAUGCACUACUAUUUGUGCAUAUUCAAUAAUCAACAAUCCACCGUUUUAGGACCAAUCCUAACUUUCUUAGGAGCCAAUCCUAACCUUAGGCAAGACACCCCACACUUUUGAAGUAGUUGAAGGAAGGCUCUAUUCCUUUCCAUAACUCUAGGGAGCUUAAUCCAUUUCUUAUGGGUAAUCUAUUUAGUAAUAUGGAUUAGUCGUUAAAUCGCUUCCCCCCACAAGGUUGUGUCCUGUGGAAAUCCAGAAUAUCAUAAAGCAUUCAUCAUUUCCUUUUAAGUUCUAUUUUCCUUUCGGCAAUUCCAUUGGGAUUGAGAGAAUAUGGUGCAGUCGUUUGGUGUAUAAUAUCAUUUUCUGCACAUAAUUUUUUAAAUGGUGACUCAUUUCAACCCCCUCUAUCACUCUUCUUAGAACUUUACUCUUUUGCUUAUUUGAUUUUCCACUUCGCUUUUAAAAAACUUUAAAAUUUUUUCAAUAGGCCUCAUCUUUACUUCUCAUUAAUAAAGAUCAACACAAUCUAGGACAAUUAUCAAUAAAAGUUAUAAAAUAUCCUUUUAAAAACCGCCUCUUGUUUUGUACUACUUUUAAAAUCACACACAUCUGCUGUGGAUACCCAAAGGUUCUGUCGCCUUCUCUAAUAGAAAGAAAAGAUGUUUACUUAAUUUCGCCUCUAUACCAUAUAUGGCAUUUCUCAUUAUUUUUAAAAUUUAAUUUUGGUCAAAAUAAUUUAAAUUGGAACAAGUUUCUCAAUGAUUCCAUAUUCCCAUGUCCCAUCUAUUAUGCCAUACAUUCCACCACAAAUGUAAACCGAAGAAAUCGGAAUUUUAUUCAUAUCAUUGGUAGUUGGUAACACACGUUGAGUACAUUUCAAUUUAAACAAAUCAUCAGAAAGGUAUCCCUUUCCGAUGUACACUCCGUUCCUAAUGAGGACAAACUUUUCAGACUCAAUACAAGUUUGAAGUCAUUUUGGCUCAACAAUUACCCAGAGACUAAAUUAUUUCUAAUAUUAGGUACUGGAGUACAUUGUUUUAGAAUCAGUUCUUUGCCAGAGAGUCAUAUUCAGAAUAAUCUUUCCAUGGCGGCAACUUUGGAAAUAUGCAGAAUUUCCUAUAAAGAUUUGGUUCUCCAUUAAACAGUUUUUCAUGAUAAGUGGUGAACAUGGUUUCUCUCGACUAAUGGCUUGGUUGUUCGCAUUUCUAUCCACCAUUGUUUGGGAUUACUUCAACAGAUUUACUUCAGAAAUAACCGACAUAGGUUCAUUUCUAAAAUAUCUCCAGAAAGUUGCUCUAAGUCAGUCCAUAUUAGCUUCUUUCACACUUCCUCUUCUUGUUGUUGCUUUGGGAAUACUUGCGUAGUGCGACUCCUACAUCCUUGGCUAUAUGACCUAAGAUUGUUACACACUGCAAUUUUCCAUAAACUUCUUGAUCAUUCCCUUUAUAGGUUUGACCGCUGAGUCUUCCCGCUUCGUUUCUGACUUGAUCUCUUGGCCACAUGCCCAACCACAUUAGCCCUUGACUCCAUCUUUGUUUGCGAACUCGGCCUUUCUGACUAACGGUGUUUCUUCAAUCCGCAGUCCUGACAUGAUGUCUUAAGCCCCAUUUCUUGCGCUUGUGUUUGAGGUAAGUUCUUGGAAAUCUCUCCAAAGUGGUGGUAAUUUUUCAUCAGAGCAGCCACUUGGAAUGAUUCACUCAAGGCCAUCCCUUCAGCACGAAUCUCAUGCAAGAAAAGUUGGAAUUCUUGCACUUGACUUAUGAUGGUCCUUGGCAUCGUGUCAUCUUGAAUUCAAGAAACCUUCCCACACGACUUCUGGUUCCGGCAAUCCUCGUCCUGUACUUCUUGUGCAAAGAAUCCCAGAGUUUCCUUAGCGUAGGAAUGGUGCAAUACACGUUGUAUAGUGGUAUUUUCAAAUCAUUCCAGGAUUAGUUCUUGUAGAGGAAUCGCAUCCUUCCAUGCCUUCCACCCGUUCCAACCGUUGCCACGGUUAGACCAAUCAGUCGCUCCUUCCUCCAAACUUGGGAAUGUCCCUCGGCAGCAAGUAUGGCGGCCAAAUUCAUGUUGUCAAAUAGAACACAUCUUUUGUUUGCCAAAUGCGCUUGAAAUCAGCCUUGAACUUCCUCGGGCUUCUCCUCCCUGUCCAGCAAUGACAAGAGUAAGGCCAAGUCACCACGUUUGGCUUUGGCAUCAUAUUAAAUAGUGGUGUUUUCACCCACGUUUGUGGUAUCACCAUUCAUUUUCUGAAUUAAACCACAAAUGCAGAAAAGGUAUCAGAAUAAUAAAAUAUAGAAACAGAAUCAAACUUUUUGAUGCUAACGACCAGAAAUUUCUGAUAUGAAAAAUUAAGAAAAAAUAUAAACGACUUAAGAUGUUGGUAAAAUCUAAUUUUCUUUUGUUUAAAACAGAAAGUUUGAAUCUUUAAAUAGAAGAAGAAGAAGAACAGAAUAAUGAAAUUAAAAGAACAACAACUUAAGGAUGUAGAAUUUGAUUUGUCUGAGGCCUGAUUAAAUUCAGUGUCCUUAAGUCGUUUACAACCGCACUUGUUAUUACGUAAUAUUUGUACGACUCCCAGGAUACAACAGCACAUCCUCUGAUAGUAGCACUCCAAAUCAAGAAGAUCACGUCGACCUUCAGUGUCUUCUCUCUCUCAGAUGAAACAUAGAAGAUGCCGAGAUGCUCCUAGCACUCCUCUAAUGCUUGCGUCUUAAUGGAUUUCGAAUGAAAUGAAGAAUACCUGGGAUGGUGGAGUAUUUAUAGAAGCCAAUCCACCUUUCUAAGAUCACAUCGAAGCUCUUUGGAAAGGCAACCCAUUCGGGCCCAAAUAUUUCCCUAUUCGGUCGAACAGGUCUGUUGCAUAGGGACCUUUCUUCUGCACAAUUGAAAGUGGUAACCUGUUCACCCACCCGCAGAGGGGGGAGGGGGUGGCAAUAAAAGAAGAGUAAAUACACGAGCAGACUUGGGGCGGUGUCGGAAAAGCAAUUCUUAAUAACCGUUUUGUUUAAAUCCGAACGGGGUACCGUUCGCAAAAGGCAAGUUAAUUUUCGAGGAAGAAACUGUAAUUUCUUUAAUUUAGAAAAUAAAAUAAUUGAUAAAUUUUUCUCCAAAAAAUUAAUAUUCAAUUACCCAAAGUCCCACAAGCCCCGGCCCGAUGCGGGCGGCUGCUGUGGCGCAGCCGCACAUUGGUCAAAUCCAUAGCCCAUAGGCUAAUGGAUCAGGCCCACUUUAUUAUACAUAACUCCUCCUCUUUAAAACUUGUUGUGCCCAAGGGCCCAAUUAAAGAAAGGGUGGGGCGGCGGGGAGGUGACGUUGCUUUUAUAUUUUCUUACUAACUUUUAUUUCUUUUUCCAAUUUAGGACAACCUUAUCUAUCCCCAUUUUUCCUUUGCAUUGAAGUUUCUUUGAGAAACAAUUUCUCAUUCAACUUAACUUAGUUUUGACAAAUGAAUACACUAAAUUCAUCUACUCAUUUAGGAGAACAUGAAUCUAUCCUUGUUCAUUUAAUUUUAGUGUAACGGAACUUAAUAAAAUUUAGUCCUAAGUGGUGGUUCCCAACACCUUCUCCAAAAACCCACGUCUACAGUUUAAUCAGUAUGGAUCACAUCAUGCCUACUAAUUACUAAUACUUGUCACUGAUCAAUAAAAGGAAACUUGUCCUUUAAAGGUUUUUAACUAGAACUGAAAAUUUAAAACUUUAAAUUAAAUAGGGAAAAUUUCACUAACCUUCCCAAAGGGUUCUGAUAAAUAUGGCCAUUUCCCAUGUAGUUUCAAAAAUAACACCGAAUUUCUUUACUUUAUAAACUAAUGUCAAGAUUCUCCCUAGAGCUUAUUUUUAUGUAAAAAUGACAAACUUGUCAUUUGAUUUAGGGUUUUCAAUUUUUUUCUCAAUACACCCAUUAAGAUAAAUUAAUGUUCUCUUAAAAAUAAAAAAAAUAAAAAAAUCAGAGGAUUAAUUUAUUUUGAAAGUGAAAGGGUGGUACUUAACACUCUAGAUUGGCAAUAUUUUGGUGGGCAGACAAGAGUGAUUCUUCAUCUUGAAAUUGGAAAUUGAGGACCGAGACUGGGCUGUGUUGUACUUUCUCCACAUGAUAAAUCUCCACGUUUGAUUUGUAUGAUGUUUAUUAGUCAAUAUUAAGAAAAAAGUUGAUAACACACGCAUUUGUACAUUCGAGUGUAUAUAUUCUCUCACAUGGAUGUGUCGAUCCUACCUAUCAUAUUUUGUAUGACUCAUGUGAUAAAGUUUGUAUGUACAAUUUAUAUGUUAAAUAUGGGUGACAAUAUCACUCACCUUUGUAUGAGCUUAUAUGGCAACACAAACUUCUGUUUGAAGUUGUAAAGCCCGUAGAUGACUAGAUGGCUCAAUACUGGCCCAUCUUUACGAUUCGAAUUGUUCAUUUGUAAAAUUCGCUAAAUAUAUAAUUUAUGCAAAAAAUUAAAUUGAUUUAAGCACAUUUGUCUUAUAGUUUAGUUUUAAAAUCAUACUUCACAUUUUUUUUUUCAAAGCAAAUGUGCUUGAACUAUGAGACUAUCGAUAUCUGAUCAAUUUGAUUUUAAAAUGAAUGAUUUUCUUUAUAGGCUCUACAUAUUAAACGAUUAGAAUCAUGAAGAUAAAGAUAGCCACGAGAUUUGGUAAGUUUGUCAUUAUUCUCAUACCAGUGGUAAAAAUCUAAAUAAAAAAAAUUAACUCAAAUUUAUAUAAAUUCUUAAAUACAAUGAUGUAGCAGUUUGUUGCUUUUCAAUUUUCACACAAUAUUCCUCGUUAUGAUGGUAAUUUUAAAAUUGUCCAGAAAUGUCAUAUCAUUGAAAUAAUUCGUGUACAAAAAUUAUGAAAAAAUAUAUUUUUUCUAGGUAUCCCAUAGUAAUUAGUACAAGAUCUAUCUCCAUCGCCAUGUGAAAACCGGCUGGGGAUCCCUGUCCCAAAAAUCCUGUCCUACGCCCAAAGCUUGACAUCAGUCUAAAUAUAAUUUAUUAGGGAAUAUUCUAUAAUUAGGUAAAUUCUAUUUGGAUAGGUGUCAAGAAUUUGGGUGUGGGGCAAAGGGCUGUUUGGGACAAAAGUUUUUUUGGGACAGGAAUCGGACUCGUGUGAAAACAGUAGGAGGAUUUUACUAGUCAGAGCCAAGAUCUCAACUGAUACGACAACAAGUACAGAAAAAAGAAAUCACAACUGUACGCUUCAAUGCAGUAGAUAAUUGCCCUCACCUUGGGGUCCACUAUUGAAUCACCGCCGCCGACAACAUUAUCUGGUACCCACUUCGCUCUCCAGACACUCGUCACAAUGACCACGCUAAAACAGUAAAUCCUCCAAAGUAAAAUCGCUCUCGCGCCAGCUGGUACAAGAGGCCUCCAGGGACCCCAAGCAGUUAACGUAACGGUAACGGAGGCCCUUCGAACGACGUGGUCUCCAAUCUCCCGCCGCGAAAUGCUUCGCCGCAGGAGCGACGGGGACUCGACGGCGAUGAAGGGAAAAUACUUAACGGCGUUAGAAAAGAUACUUCUGAAUCUGGUUAAUUUGAUCGAGGACGUUGGUUUUGUGUAUGUGGUGAGAUCGACAUCGAGGAGGUUGCAUACGGUUAGAUCGGACGGUACUUUUCGAGGGAAGGAUCGGAAGCCGCUUGAUGAGCAGGAAUUGGAGUCGUCGGCGAGGAAGUCUUUGAGCGUUUUGGGGCCGAGCAGAGCCAUGAUGAGAGAGAGAGAUUUAGAAUGAGAGAGAGAUGAGGUGAAGAGGAAGAAGAUGA